rnacentral:misc_RNA from 1 species
AAGUCGUAACAAGGUUUCCGUAGGUGAACCUGCGGAAGGAUCAUUACCGAUUUUUAGCGGACCUGAUCUUUGAUUAUGGUCUCGCGAAAACUUGUAUUUAAAACCCCACUCUUAUAAAUUGAAUCAAUUUUAUAUGUAUAUAAUAAAUAAAGAUCACUUUCAACAACGGAUCUCUUGGCUCUC